GUGCCAGCAGCCGCGGUAAUACGGAGGGUGCAAGCGUUAUCCGGAUUUACUGGGUUUAAAGGGAGCGUAGGCGGGUAUGUAAGUCAGUGGUGAAAGCCCUCAGCUUAACUGAGGAAUUGCCGUUGAUACUAUAUAUCUUGAAUAUCGUUGAGGUUUGCGGAAUAGGUCAUGUAGCGGUGAAAUGCUUAGAUAUGACCUGGAACACCUAUUGCGAAGGCAGCAGGCUAAACGAUGAUUGACGCUGAGGCUCGAAAGCGUGGGGAUCAAACAGGAUUAGAUACCCCAGUAGUCC
rnacentral:rRNA from 1 species